UACAGAGGUGCCGAGCGUUAGGCGGAAUCACUGGGCUUAAAGCGUGUGUAGGCGGAUGCCUAAGUACCUUGUGAAAUCCCAUAGCUCAACUAUGGAACUGCUUGGUAUACUGCCAGUCUUGAGCCAGCUAGGGGCUACCGGAACAAAUGGUGGAGCGGUGAAAUGCGUAGAUAUCAUUUGGAACGCCAAUGGUGAAAACAGGUAGCUGGGGCUGUGCUGACGCUGAGACACGAAAGCCAGGGGAGCAAACGGG
rnacentral:rRNA from 1 species